rnacentral:rRNA from 1 species
UGCCCACUGAUAUUAUUAUUAAAGGGCUGCAGUAUUUUGACUGUACAAAGGUAGCAUAAUCAUUAGUCAUUUAAUUGGUGACUUGUAUGAAAGAUUGGAUGAAAUAUAAGCUGUCUCUAUUAUAAUAUAUAGAAUUUAAUUUUUUAGUUAAAAAGCUAAAAUGGUUUAAAAAGACGAGAAGACCCUAUAGAGUUUUAUUUAUGUUAGUAUUAUAAUUUUUUAUAAAUUUUUUAAUUUAAAUUCUAUUAUAAAUUUUAUUGGGGUGAUGAAAAAAUUAAAUUAACUUUUUUUUUUGUUAACAAAGAUAAGUGGGUAGUUGAUCCAAUUUUAUUGAUUAUAAGAUUAAAUUACCUUAGGGAUAACAGCGUAAUUUUUUUUUUUAGUUCAAAUAAGAAAAAAAGUUUGCGACCUCGAUGUUGGAUUAAGAUAAAAUUUAAAUGCAGUAGUUUAAAAUUUUUGA